AGCGAACGCUGGCGGCAGGCCUAACACAUGCAAGUCGAACGGAUCCUUCGGGAUUAGUGGCGGACGGGUGAGUAACACGUGGGAACGUGCCCUUUGGUUCGGAACAACUCAGGGAAACUUGAGCUAAUGCCGGAUGUGCCCUUCGGGGGAAAGAUUUAUCGCCAUUGGAGCGGCCCGCGUCUGAUUAGCUAGUUGGUGAGGUAACGGCCCACCAAGGCGACGAUCAGUAGCUGGUCUGAGAGGAUGAUCAGCCACACUGGGACUGAGACACGGCCCAGACUCCUACGGGAGGCAGCAGUGGGGAAUCUUGCGCAAUGGGCGAAAGCCUGACGCAGCCAUGCCGCGUGAAUGAUGAAGGUCUUAGGAUUGUAAAAUUCUUUCAGCGGGGACGAUAAUGACGGUACCCGCAGAAGAAGCUCCGGCUAACUUCGUG
rnacentral:rRNA from 1 species